CUAGCAUAUCAAUAAGCGGAGGAAAAGAAANCCAACAGGGAUUGCCCCCAGUAACGGGCGAGUGAAGCGGCAACAGCUCAGAUUUGAAAUCUGGCCCCCCAGGGGNCCCGAGUUGUAAUCUGUAGAGGAUGCUUCUGGCAAGGCGCCGUCCGAGUUCCCUGGAACGGGACGCCGGAGAGGGUGAGAGCCCCGUACAGGCGGACGCCGAGCCUCUGUGAAGCUCCUUCGACGAGUCGAGUAGUUUGGGAAUGCUGCUCAAAGCGGGAGGUAAAUUUCUUCUAAAGCUAAAUAUAGGCCAGAGACCGAUAGCGCACAAGUAGAGUGAUCGAAAGAUGAAAAGCACUUUGAAAAGAGGGUUAAAAAGCACGUGAAAUUGUUGAAAGGGAAGCGCCUGUGACCAGACUCGCGCCCGGCGGAUCAUCCGGCGUUCUCGCCGGUGCACUCCGCCGGGCUCGGGCCAGCAUCGGUUCUGGUGGGGGGAUAAAGGCGGCGGGGAUGUGGCUCCCCCGGGAGUGUUAUAGCCCGCCGCUCAAUGCCCUCGCCGGGACCGAGGACCGCGCAUUUGCAAGGAUGCUGGCGUAAUGGUCACCAGCGACCCGUCUUGAAACACGGACCAAGGAGUCAAGCAUUAGGGCGAGUGUUUGGGUGUAAAACCCGCACGCGAAAUGAAAGUGAACGUAGGUGGGAGCCUCGGCGCACCAUCGACCGAUCCUGAAGUCUUCGGAUGGAUUUGAGUAAGAGCCUUACCGCUUGGACCCGAAAGAUGGUGAACUAUGCUUGUGUAGGGUGAAGCCAGAGGAAACUCUGGUGGAGGCUCGCAGCGGUUCUGACGUGCAAAUCGAUCGUCAAACAUGAGCAUGGGGGCGAAAGACUAAUCGAU
rnacentral:rRNA from 1 species